rnacentral:rRNA from 1 species
CCUACGGGAGGCAGCAGUGGGGAAUAUUGCACAAUGGGGGGAACCCUGAUGCAGCGACGCCGCGUGGGUGAAGGAGUAUUUCGGUAUGUAAAGCCCUAUCAGCAGGGAAGAACAAUGACGGUACCUGACUACGAAGCACCGGCUAAAUACGUGCCAGCAGCCGCGGUAAUACGUAUGGUGCACGCGUUAUCCGGAUUUACUGGGUGUAAAGGGAGCGCAGGCGGCGCGUUAAGCCUGGUGUGAAAGUCCGCGGCCCAACCGCGGGACUGCAUUGGGAACUGGCGCGCUGGAGUGCCGGAGGGGUAGGCGGAAUUCCUAGUGUAGCGGUGAAAUGCGUAGAUAUUAGGAGGAACACCAGUGGCGAAGGCGGCCUACUGGACGGUGACUGACGCUGAGGCUCGAAAGCGUGGGGAGCAAACAGGAUUAGAUACCCCUGUAGUC